rnacentral:rRNA from 1 species
CCUACGGGAGGCUGCAGUGGGGAAUAUUGGGCAAUGGGCGCAAGCCUGACCCAGCAACGCCGCGUGAAGGAAGAAGGCUUUCGGGUUGUAAACUGCUUUUAUACGGGAAUAACGCGCCUUACGUGUAGGGCUUUGCAUGUACCGUAUGAAUAAGGACCGGCUAAUUCCGUGCCAGCAGCCGCGGUAAUACGGAAGGUCCGGGCGUUCUCCGGAUUUAUUGGGGUUAAAGGGAGCGUAGGCCGCAUGUCAAGCGUGCUGUGAAAUGUCCGGGGUCAACCCGGGCCUUGCAGCGCGAACUGGCGUGCUUGAGUCCGCGGAAAGCAGGCGGAAUUCGUGGUGUAGCGGUGAAAUGCUUAGAUAUGACGAAGAACCCCGAUUGCGAAGGCAGCUUGCUGCAGCGGAACUGACGCUGAUGCUCGAAAGCGCGGGUAUCGAACAGGAUUAGAUACCCGGGUAGUC